rnacentral:rRNA from 1 species
UACGUAGGUGGCAAGCGUUGUCCGGAUUUACUGGGCGUAAAGGAUGCGUAGGCGGACAUUUAAGUCAGAUGUGAGAUACCCGAGCUUAACUUGGGUGCUGCAUUUGAAACUGGGUGUCUAGAGUGCAGGAGAGGUAAGUGGAAUUCCUAGUGUAGCGGUGAAAUGCGUAGAGAUUAGGAAGAACACCAGUGGCGAAGGCGACUUACUGGACUGUAACUGACGCUGAGGCAUGAAAGCGUGGGGAGCAAACAGG